rnacentral:rRNA from 1 species
CUACGUGCCAGCAGCCGCGGUAAUACGUAGGUCCCGAGCGUUGUCCGGAUUUAUUGGGCGUAAAGCGAGCGCAGGCGGUUAGAUAAGUCUGAAGUUAAAGGCUGUGGCUUAACCAUAGUACGCUUUGGAAACUGUUUAACUUGAGUGCAAGAGGGGAGAGUGGAAUUCCAUGUGUAGCGGUGAAAUGCGUAGAUAUAUGGAGGAACACCGAUGGCGUAGGCAGGUUACUGGGCCAUUUCUGACGCUAAGGCACGAAAGCGUGGGGAGCGAACCGGAUUAGAUACCCGGGUAGUCCACGCCGUAAACGAUGGAUACUAGCUGUUGGAGGUAUCGACCCCUUCAGUAGCGAAGCUAACGCGUUAAGUAUCCCGCCUGUGGAGUACGGCCGCAAGGCUAAAACAUAAAGGAAUUGACGGGGACCCGCACAAGCGGUGGAUUAUGUUCUUUAAUUCGAUGAUAACCGAAGAACCUUACCAGGGCUUGACAUCC